rnacentral:rRNA from 1 species
UACGUAGGGGGCAAGCGUUAUCCGGAUUUACUGGGUGUAAAGGGAGCGCAGGCGGCGCGUUAAGUCUGAUGUGAAAACCCGCGGCUCAACUGCGGGACUGCAUUGGAAACUGGCGCGCUUGAGUGCCGGAGAGGCAAGCGGAAUUCCUAGUGUAGCGGUGAAAUGCGUAGAUAUUAGGAGGAACACCAGUGGCGAAGGCGGCUUACUGGACCAUAACUGACGUUGAGGCUCGAAAGCGUGGGGAGCGAACAGG